GACGAACCGUGCGAACGUUGUUCGGAUUCACUGGGCUUAAAGGGCGCGUAGGCGGGUGACCAAGUCAGGGGUGAAAUCCCUCGGCUUAACCGGGGAACUGCGUCUGAUACUGGAUGGCUUGAGUUCGGGAGAGGGAUGCGGAAUUCCAGGUGUAGCGGUGAAAUGCGUAGAUAUCUGGAGGAACACCGGUGGCGAAGGCGGCAUCCUGGACCGACACUGACACUGAGGAGCGAAAGCCAGGGGAGCAAACGGG
rnacentral:rRNA from 1 species